AUUGAACGCUGGCGGCAGGCCUAACACAUGCAAGUCGAACGGUAACAGGAAGAAGCUUGCUUCUUUGCUGACGAGUGGCGGACGGGUGAGUAAUGUCUGGGAAACUGCCUGAUGGAGGGGGAUAACUACUGGAAACGGUAGCUAAUACCGCAUAACGUCGCAAGACCAAAGAGGGGGACCUUCGGGCCUCUUGCCAUCGGAUGUGCCCAGAUGGGAUUAGCUAGUAGGUGGGGUAACGGCUCACCUAGGCGACGAUCCCUAGCUGGUCUGAGAGGAUGACCAGCCACACUGGAACUGAGACACGGUCCAGACUCCUACGGGAGGCAGCAGUGGGGAAUAUUGCACAAAGGGCGCAAGCCUGACGCAGCCAUGCCGCGUGUAUGAAGAAGGCCUUCGGGUUGUAAAGUACUUUCAGCGGGGAGGAAGGGAGUAAAGUUAAUACCUUUGCUCAUUGACGUUACCCGCAGAAGAAGCACCGGCUAACUCCGUG
rnacentral:rRNA from 1 species